rnacentral:rRNA from 1 species
GGGGAAUUGUUCGCAAUGGGCGCAAGCCUGACGACGCAACGCCGCGUGGAGGAUGAAGACCUUCGGGUCGUAAACUCCUUUCGAUCGAGACGAAUGGUUUCCGGGCGAACAAUCCGGAGAAGUGACGGUACCUGCAGAAGAAGCGCCGGCUAACUACGUGCCAGCAGCCGCGGUAACACGUAGGGCGCAAGCGUUGUCCGGAAUUAUUGGGCGUAAAGAGCUCGUAGGCGGUCUGUUGCGUCCGCUGUGAAAACUCGGGGCUUAACCCCGAGCCUGCAGUGGAUACGGGCAGACUAGAGGUAGGUAGGGGAGAAUGGAAUUCCCGGUGUAGCGGUGAAAUGCGCAGAUAUCGGGAGGAACACCGGUGGCGAAGGCGGUUCUCUGGGCCUUACCUGACGCUGAGGAGCGAAAGCGUGGGGAGCGAAC